GACGGACACGGUCUAUUUAAGCAGGCCAUCGAUCCACCGAAAUGAUCAUGCGCCCUCAAACCCUGCCGCUUUCAUCACCUCCAUCCUCUCUCUCCUCCUCCCUCCUCGAGACUCCGCAGGUUCUCGUCGCUCCGUGCGCCUGGCCGCCUGACGACUCCUCCGGCCGCGCCGUCCGGGACGAUCAUGACCUCCUCGCCCGCCAGCUCCGCUGUGGCCGCCGAGAACGGCGGCGGCUCCGCUUCUGAUGCUGCCGUGAGCGGUGCCGGUCUCGGCUAUUACGAGGACGAAGGUUCGGCACUGGGUGGCACAUAUUGUCUUCCUCCGCCAGAAAUUAGAGAUAUAGUUGAUGCUCCGCCAUGUCCCGUAUUGUCACUCUCCCCACAAGGAGAUAAAAUUCUGUUUUUAAAACGGAGAGCUUUACCACCUUUAGCUGAGCUUGCAAGACCAGAAGAGAAGCUGGCUGGCAUCCGUAUCGAUGUUAAGUGCAGCACCAGGAGUCGGAUAUCAUAUUAUACUGGUAUGGGGAUCCAUCAGUUAUCGCCCGAUGAUAACUUAGGGCCAGAAAAAGAAGUACAUGGGUUUCCUGAUGGCGCAAAGAUCAACUUUGUCACCUGGUCAAAUGAUGGUAGACAUUUGUCCUUCUGCAUUCGACUUGAUGAGGAAGACAAUAGCAGUAGUAAGCUUCAGCUUUGGGUUGCUGAUGUGGAAACAGGGAAAGCCAGACCAUUGUUCAAGUCACCUGACAUAUGCCUAAAUGCAGUUUUUGACAAAUUUGUCUGGAUAGAUAACUCCACACUAGUAGUUUGCACAAUACCCUUGGGCCGUGGAGAUCCGCCAAAAAAACCUUUGGUUCCUGGAGGUCCUAAAGUCCAGUCAAAUGAGCAGAAGAAUGUCAUUCAGGUUGAAACAUUUCAAGACCUGCUAAAGGAUGAAUAUGACAAAGAUUUGUUUGAUUACUAUGCCAGGUCUCAACUUCUUUUGGUUACGUUGGAUGGAAAAGCAAAGGAAAUUGGUCCACCGGCUGUAUAUACCUCAAUUGAUCCCUCUCCAGAUGGGAAGUACCUUUUAAUAAGCUCAAUUCAUAGGCCAUACUCUUUCGUUGUACCUUAUGAAAGAUUUCCCAAGAAAGUAGAUGUAUGGACUGCAGACGGACAACUUGUCAGAGAACUUUGUGAUUUGGCCCUUGCAGAGGACAUCCCAAUUGCAUUCAAUAGUGUGCGCAAAGGGAUGCGCUCAGUCCAUUGGAGAGCUGAUAAACCUUCUAGCCUAUACUGGGUGGAGACACAAGACGGGGGUGAUGCCAAAGUCGAAGUUUCUCCGCGGGAUAUAAUUUACACACAACCAGCUGAACCACUUGAAGGUGAACAACCAGAAAUCUUACACAAAGUGGAUCUUCGAUAUGGAGGAGUUUCAUGGUGUGAUGAUUCAUUGGCUCUGGUUUAUGAAUCUUGGUACAAGACACGGAGAACGAGAACCUGGGUUAUUUCUCCAGAAUCCAAGGAGACAUAUCCUCGCAUACUAUUUGAUAGGUCAUCUGAAGAUGUAUACUCAGAUCCUGGUUCUCCAAUGCUUCAAAGAACGCCAGCUGGGACACGUGUCAUUGCAAAAGUGAAGAAGGAAAAUGGUGAAGGCACUUAUGUCCUAUUGAAUGGGAGUGGUGCAACACCAGAAGGGAACAUCCCCUUCCUUGAUUUGUUUGACAUAAACACGGGCAGCAAGGAACGAAUAUGGCAGAGUGACAAAGAAAAGUAUUUCGAGACUGUUGUUGCUUUAUUGUCCAAUGAAAAUGACGGGGACAUUAGUCUUGAUCAACUGAAGAUCUUAACUUCGAAAGAGUCAAAAACUGAGAAUAGACAGUACCAUGUUAUGAGCUGGCCAGAUAAGAAAGCUUGUCAAAUUACAAACUUCCCUCAUCCCUAUCCUCAGUUGGCCUCCCUCCAGAAAGAGAUGGUACGAUACCAGAGGAAGGAUGGGGUUCAACUUACAGCAACACUUUAUCUGCCACCGAACUAUGAUCUAUCAAAAGAGGGUCCUCUUCCCUGUGUGGUCUGGGCAUAUCCUGGAGAAUUUAAAAGCAAAGAUGCUGCUGGACAAGUCCGUGGUUCUCCUAAUGAAUUUGCUGGGAUGUUUUCGACAUCACCUCUUCUUUGGCUGGCUAGAAGGUUUGCUAUCUUGUUAGGACCGACAAUUCCGAUCAUUGGUGAGGGUGAAGAAGAGGCAAAUGACAGGUAUGUGGAGCAAUUAGUUGCAAGUGCAGAGGCCGCUGUGGAGGAAGUAAUCCGUCGCGGAGUUGCUCAUCCCAACAAAAUUGCUAUUAGUGGGCACUCAUAUGGAGCAUUUAUGACUGCAAACCUCCUUGCACAUGCCCCUCAGUUAUUCUGUUGCGGGGUAGCUCGGUCUGGAGCUUACAACAGGACACUCACACCUUUUGGUUUUCAGAAUGAGGAGAGAACUUUGUGGGAGGCUACUGAUACAUAUGUGGAGAUGAGUGCUUUCAUGUCAGCUCAUAAAAUAAAGAAACCAAUCUUGCUUAUCCAUGGAGAAGAAGACGAUAACUCAGGAACACUACCCAUGCAGUCGGAACGUUUUUUCAAUGCUUUAAAGGGUCAUGGUGCUCUUUGUCGCCUUGUAGUUCUUCCAUUUGAGAGCCAUGGCUAUGCUGCUCGUGAGAGCGUCAUGCAUGUCCUAUGGGAAACUGAUAGGUGGUUACAUAAGUACUGUGUGUCAAAUGCUUCUGAAGUAACUGCAGAUCUCAAUUCUUGUAAAGAUGAUGAAAGUAAAGGAGCAGUGGGUUCAGAGCCAAAGUAGUUGCUGCAAGUGGUGGUGGUAACCUAGAGCUGGCUGAUUCUGAUCAGCACUGUGAGGAAUGGAAGAUGCGCAAAGAAGAGACUUUGAUCGGCAGCUCUCUCUAAAUGGUUCCUGAGGCCUCCAUGAUUCAUUUGAUUUCACUGUGGGUUGUCAAUUGGUGGAAAAACGAUGAAGGGUGCGCCUUCAUCAGAUAUCCUGUAGAAAAUGUUGUUUAAUUCGCAAUGGAGCAGCACUUCCAAAAUGCAGAGUUCUAUAUUGCAUUUGAAAGUACCAUGAUCUGAUUGCAUGGCUUUAUCUUUCAGUCAAAUUAUCAUAAGAGACCAAUGAGUUUUAUUUGUCGCUCACUCAUGUAAUUAUGCAUGGUAAUAAGGAAACGCUCGAUGUUGAACUCAUAGAAAGUACUGCUGCACAGUGAAACAUAUGUCAUGGAAAACAUGGAUAUUGGUUGUUCUUCUCUUGCUUUAGGAUGGUUCUGUUCCGGCUCUGCUUUACUUUUGCUAUCGAAGUUUACCGAGUUGUGCUA